rnacentral:rRNA from 1 species
AAAACGACUCUCGGCAACGGAUAUCUCGGCUCUCGCAUCGAUGAAGAACGUAGCGAAAUGCGAUACUUGGUGUGAAUUGCAGAAUCCCGUGAAUCAUCGAGUCUUUGAACGCAAGUUGCGCCCAAAGCCUUUUGGUUGAGGGCACGUCUGCCUGGG